GGGCCCGCACAAGCGGCGGAGCAUGCGGAUUAAUUCGAUGCAACGCGAAGAACCUUACCAAGGCUUGACAUACACCGGAAACUUCCAGAGAUGGUUGCCCCGCAAGGUCGGUGUACAGGUGGUGCAUGGUUGUCGUCAGCUCGUGUCGUGAGAUGUUGGGUUAAGUCCCGCAACGAGCGCAACCCUCGUUCGAUGUUGCCAGCGGGCGAUGCCGGGGACUCAUGGGAGACUGCCGGGGUCAACUCGGAGGAAGGUGGGGAUGACGUCAAAUCAUCAUGCCCCUUAUGUCUUGGGCUUCACGCAUACUACAAUGGCCGGUACAAAGGGCUGCGAUACCGUAAGGUGGAGCGAAUCCCAAAAAGCCGGUCUCAGUUCGGAUUGGGGUCUGCAACUCGACCCCAUGAAGUCGGAGUCGCUAGUAAUCGCAGA
rnacentral:rRNA from 1 species